CCUACGGGAGGCAGCAGUGGGGAAUAUUGCACAAUGGGGGAAACCCUGAUGCAGCGACGCCGCGUGAAGGAAGAAGUAUUUCGGUAUGUAAACUUCUAUCAGCAGGGAAGAAAAUGACGGUACCUGACUAAGAAGCCCCGGCUAACUACGUGCCAGCAGCCGCGGUCAUACGUAGGGGGCAAGCGUUAUCCGGAUUUACUGGGUGUAAAGGGAGCGUAGACGGCAUGGCAAGUCUGGUGUGAAAGGCAGGGGCCCAACCCCUGGACUGCAUUGGAAACUGUCAGGCUGGAGUGCAGGAGAGGUAAGUGGAAUUCCUAGUGUAGCGGUGAAAUGCGUAGAUAUUAGGAGGAACACCAGUGGCGAAGGCGACUUACUGGACUGUAACUGACGUUGAGGCUCGAAAGCGUGGGGAGCAAACAGGAUUAGAUACCCGAGUAGUC
rnacentral:rRNA from 1 species